AAACCUCUUUUAGUAGGGAAGAAGCGUAAGUGACGGUACCUGCAGAAAAAGCACCGGCUAACUACGUGCCAGCAGCGGCGGUAAUACGUAGGGUGCAAGCGUUGUCCGGAAUUAUUGGGCGUAAAGAGCUCGUAGGCGGUUUGUCGCGUCUGCUGUGAAAACCGGAGGCUCAACCUCCGGCCUGCAGUGGGUACGGGCAGACUAGAGUGCGGUAGGGGAGAUUGGAAUUCCUGGUGUAGCGGUGGAAUGCGCAGAUAUCAGGAGGAACACCGAUGGCGAAGGCAGAUCUCUGGGCCGUAACUGACGCUGAGGAGCGAAAGCAUGGGGAGCGAACAGGAUUAGAUACCCUGGUAGUCCAUGCCGUAAACGUUGGGCGCUAGAUGUAGGGGCCAUUCCACGGUUUCUGUGUCGCAGCUAACGCAUUAAGCGCCCCGCCUGGGGAGUACGGCCGCAAGGCUAAAACUCAAAGGAAUUGACGAGGGCCCGCACAAGCGGCGGAGCAUGCGGAUUAAUUCGAUGCAACGCGAAGAACCUUACCAAGGCUUGACAUAUACCGGUAACGGCCAGAAAUGGUCGCCCCGCAAGGUCGGUAUACAGGUGGUGCAUGGUUGUCGUCAGCU
rnacentral:rRNA from 1 species